rnacentral:rRNA from 1 species
GACGAACGCUGGCGGCGUGCUUAACACAUGCAAGUCGAACGGAAAGGCCUGCUUUCCCUUGUGGAUUGCGGGUACUCGAGUGGCGAACGGGUGAGUAACACGUGAGUGAUCUGCCCCCAACUUGGGUAUAAGCCUGGGAAACUGGGUCUAAUUCCCGAUAGGACUGCAGGGUGGUGCCUGUGGUGGAAAACGAUUUUCUAGUGGUUGGGGAUGAGCUCGCGGCCUAUCAGCUUGUUGGUGGGGUAAUGGCCCACCAAGGCGGCGACGGGUAGCCGGCCUGAGAGGGUGGACGGCCACAUUGGGACUGAGAUACGGCCCAGACUCCUACGGGAGGCAGCAGUGGGGAAUAUUGCACAAUGGGCGGAAGCCUGAUGCAGCGACGCCGCGUGGGGGAUGACGGCCUUCGGGUUGUAAACUCCUUUCGACCGCGAGGAAGCCACCUGGUUGGAAGGGUGGUGACGGUAGUGGUAGAAGAAGCACCGGCUAACUACGUG